GUGCAAUACUAAAAAACGAAAAGUCACUUUAAUUGCGUCUCUUCCUCUUAUUUGUUCCAAUACGGCAAUACAUUGUUUCACUCCUCUUGCUCUUCCAUUGAAACGCUUUCAGCGGCUUCUUUCUCUUCUUUACUUACUUCAAUAAUAUGAAGAUCGAAAAUGCUGGUUGUUCAAACGUCACCCGCAUUAUGGAAUCUCAGUGACUUCUUAAAACAAAACAAAGUGAUUGCUCAGCCUUGGAAGAUCAUCACUGUUUGGGACGACAUUAUCUGUUAUUACAUUCACUCUUCAACCAAGGAUAGUUGCUCAGGAGUUUCAAUAUCUUCUGUGGAAUUUCCUAGCUAAUAAUUUACUUGCUGAAAAUAAUUUCUAUGUUGCCAUUUUCUCUAUCUUUUCAUCAUUCUUUUUAUCUUGAGAACCUUAUAGUUAUUUAAGAGUAUGAAUAUGUUGUUCCCAAAUCUUGUAUGCUGGUGGAGGAAGAUAUAGGAUAAGUGUACUUUUGAAUAGGGGAGUGAGAGCUUUAUUCAUAAAUUUGUGAUUAAAAUUUGAUCGCCAAGCAAAAACCUUUAUGGUAACCUUUUGUAUCAAUGAGAUUAUUGUUUC